CUCUCGGUAGCCAAGUUGGUUUAAGGCGCAAGACUGUAAAUCUUGAGAUCGGGCGUUCGACUCGCCCCCCGGGAGA
rnacentral:tRNA from 3 species